rnacentral:rRNA from 1 species
UACGUAGGUGGCAAGCGUUGUCCGGAUUUACUGGGCGUAAAGAGCGCGCAGGCGGUCGUUCAAGUCGCGUGUGAAAGCCCCCGGCUCAACUGGGGAGGGUCACGCGAUACUGACUCGACUCGAAGGCAGGAGAGGGUAGUGGAAUUCCCGGUGUAGUGGUGGAAAUGCGUAGAUAUCGGGAGGAACACCAGUGGCGAAGGCGACUACCUGCCUGUCUGACGCUGAGGCGCGAAAGCUAGGGAGCAACGGG